rnacentral:rRNA from 1 species
UACGAAGGGGGCUAGCGUUGCUCGGAAUCACUGGGCGUAAAGCGCACGUAGGCGGAUUGUUAAGUCAGGGGUGAAAUCCUGGAGCUCAACUCCAGAACUGCCUUUGAUACUGGCGAUCUUGAGUCCGGGAGAGGUGAGUGGAAUUCCGAGUGUAGAGGUGAAAUUCGUAGAUAUUGGGAGGAACACCGGUGGCGAAGGCGGCCACCUGGACAGUGACUGACGCUGAGGCGCGAAAGCAUGGGUAGCAAACAGG